UUCCCUCUCAAUAGAACCACGCAUAAACCCCACAAAAAGUAAGCUCAUACACACCCUUCCCUAAGUCGCUGGUUCGCUUGAUUUAUGCCAAUUCAAAAGGGCUAAUUUUUUUUGUGGGGCUUUGAAACCAUUAUUUGAUUAUGACCCGGUUUCUAUUUCCCAUAGAUCUCUCCCCUCUCCUCCUUAAAUACCACUCUCCCUCCCCUCCUCUCUCCCUCUCUCUGCCCUAAUUUUGAGGCUUCACUGAAACACACCCUCUCUUCAACUUCGUUGUUUAUGUAUGUAUGGUGUCCAUGGGGAAGGCAAGCUGUGGUAGAAAAUCUGUUACCUUCUAUUUAUAUGCAUGCGCUUGUAGUUCAUGCAUUCAUCCAUUCAUGCUAAGUAGUGUGCAUCCAUGCAAUUGGGGGCUGCAUAAGCUCAUACACACAUGCCUGCAUGCUUAGUAAUGCAAUAUAAUGCAUGCAUACAUGCAUGUUUUCACCAUCAUGCAUCCAUAUAUAUAUAUUAUAUGUGCCUGGCUCCCUGUAUGCCAUUUGCAGAGCCCACCGGUUCUUCGAUGGCCUCCGUGGAUGGCGUAUGAGGAGCCAUGCAUAUUCACAUGUAUAUUAUCCAUGGUUUUCACUUGCAGAUGGAAGAUUUAUACGGGCUCUCAGUCCAACUUUGAAGGCUAGAGUCCGCAAGGGUAGCAUUGUAAUUUUCAAAAGAAUCAGGUUCUCUCUGAAAGCGAAGGUACAUGUUUAUCCUCUUCUCUUCGAAACAUCACCCCUGUAUAGUUUUUAGGGUUUUCAUGAUGUGAUGUUGAUCUAAAGGCUUUGCAGGAGAAAUUAUUUUAACAUGACUAGCCACCACCCUUGUAACGAGGGAUCUGAUCAGAAAUCUAUUUUUUUAGCUCUCAAAAUAUUACUGUGGACGAAUUAUAAUUGUUUGUACCUGACAACAUAGGAGUUGCAUUAUGCCAUCCAUCUCAUCAUCUGGCUACAUGCUUGUCUCAAGAACAUGUCAUAUGACCUAAAGUCACGGUGUCAUGUCCUAUAAACUUAGACCAUAAAACAAAAGGGGGGAGAAGAGACAGAUCAUCAUGAUCACAAUUUAUAGCCUUUGUUCUUUGAUAAUGGGAAACAAGACUGACGAAAACCCUUUGUCAUUUGUUCUAUAGCUAGUGUCCAAGUUGAUUUGAGUUGGUAUAGAUUAAUAUCAAAUAAUUGCUUUGUCUUAUUAAGAAGUUUCAUUGUCUUCUGCUCAAUGUUUGGCUUUGAAUGUUAAUCUGCUUUUUGUUGUCUUGACUUCCCUUGUGAUUUUGAUUAACCACCAUGACCACAACUAAAUCUAGGUCUUGUUUUUGCUUUUCUGUGUCUAUAUAUGGUUACUAUUAAUUUUCUUUUUACUGAUAUAGAAGGCAUAUAUAUAUAUAUAUAUAUAUAUAUAUAUAUAUAUAUGCUAAUUGCUGGUUAAAUCGUUUGAAAGGGAAGGGUCUGUCUUGUAUUUAACAAAAACAACAACUAAUACUCCUAUUAUUAGUCAACACUAAACGGGUGCUGCUGAAGUUGGCUUAAUUAGUAGCCCAAGUGUGUAGAACUCCGCUUUUGGGUAUGCAGCUGGACAAUGUGCAAUGACAAAAAGAACUUGGAAAGGUAACUCCAUUCAAGCUAUCUAUAUAGUAGAAUGGGUCUAAAGAACAAAAGCUACAAGGCUUUUUUCGAUUUUGUUUGUGGAUACAAUCAUGCAUUCCAUUAACCAAAGAACAACCUUUUACCAUCCAUUUUUUCUUCUUUGUAAGUCGAGUUGUGUCCAAGAGAUUCUAGCUAGCUAGCUCUCCUGCUAUAAUAAAUCGAAAGCAAAAAACUAAUUAAAGUACUUGAAGAUGAAUAAUAACACAAAGGGUUAGAUCGAAUUAAUAUGAGUAUUAUGAUUGUCCUUGUUUUCCACAGAAAAAAAAAUCUAAUAUAGCUAGAGAGUAUUGAUAUCACCUGCAUGCCCAGAUAUAAUGAACACAACCUGGUUUAGGUUUAUCAGCAUCAAAAGUAGAGGCACAAUCAUGCUAGCCACGCACGUCCGGCCAGGGAUUCAAGAAAGAAAAAGAAGUGUGGAUUAUGGGGAAAGUAAAGUAGUGAGGGUGCAGCAGCAGGAUUAUGAUUAUAGCUUCUAGGGAAUCUCAUAUAAAAAGAAAUGGACCCUCUUCCUCUCUGUCACUUUGUCAUUGGCCACUAGAGAAUAUGUUAUACAGUCAAAGCAGGUCAAAAGGACACCAGUCAGGCCAGAUGAGGGACCACAUUGGAGAUCUACUGUUCAAAUGGGAUCUUUUUAAAAACAAUUAAGACGGUAAAUUAAAAGUUUUGUCAUAAAAACAUAUUUUGAAAAGAAGAAGAAGAAAUGAUAUAGUAUACAUGAUAUUUAUGUAGUUGUUGUGCUUUAAAAUAAUAAUAUUUAAAUAUAUUAUAUUUUAAAGUGUGAUAAUUAUUAUUUAGAUAGCAGGUUGAAUAUAGUUAUAUAAUUGAUUCAUCAUUUUGAACAAAAAUUAUAUUUUAUUAUUUUUUAAAAAUAUGUUUUAUAAAUAAAAAUAGAUAUUUUUAUCCAAAUUUUAGACUAAAAAAAAAUUGAUUAUAUAAUAGUUUUUAUAGGUAAUAUGAAGUAGUCAUAUUACAUGGAUGGCUUAGCAGUUGUAUUUAUGGACCAAUAAGACAGGUCUAGGUGCAGGAAGAUGUAUGGUCACGCUAGACCAGAAUGAUAGCUAAAAAAGACCAUUAUUUUUUAUCUAAUUAUUGGAUUGUGCUUAAAUUUUUACAGGAUUUUUUAGAAAUUAUUUUUCCACUCUAACCAUUGGAUCUUAGAUUUAAAAAAUCAACACGGACCCUGAUUCUGAUAAUUUUGUAAUUUUCCUUACAAACUGAUUGAUUGGUCAGUUCUGAAUUUAAAUAGACAUCACGGUUAUAAAUCGCAAUAUCAAUUUAAAUUUUUCCAUGAUUCACAGCCGUGAUAUUUAAUUAAUAUCACGGUUCUUAACUACAAUAUCUAAAAAUAUAUAUGCUAUUUCAUCAAAACUUUUUAUAUAUGUUAUUUCACCAUUUAUUAUAUUUGCAUUUUACAUGCUAAUUGCUCAAUUUAUUGGUUGAAAUGGGAAUUUUAAUCUCUCGACUACCCGUUUCUUUUCCAUGAUUUAUUUUUUUUCUAAGAGAAAAGGGGGAAACACAGAGAGUCUAAUAAUCCACAGAGAACAUUAUACCCGGAUUGAUCAGGCCGGGGGAAUGGUGAGAAAAGAAGAAGAUUGUACCUUCUUUGUUAGGGCUCAGCUUGUCCACUGUUUGAUGUAUCAGAGAGUAAAUUCUAUGCUAUGCUAUGCUAUGUCAUGUCUUACCUAAGAAUGGCGGUGAAACAUCAAGUGUGUGUUUGUGACAUUUCUACAUUUCUACAGAAAUUAAAUCAUGAUUUCAGGCUUUUGUGUUCAGAAAGAAAUCUUCUUUCACAUACAGAGUUAUGCACGUUUAUGCUGGGGGCGGGGAGAAGAUAUAUGAUGUCCUUCCAGCAGACAGCACAUUUCUCUUUUUCCUAUGUUUCAGAUGCGUUUUCCCGAUGUUCUUUCAUGAAAAUGGUGGAACCCAUAUAAAGUUAUCUCAAAAGCAUGUUGGGUUUUGCCAUGAUGGGCUCUCAGAUUCUUUCUCGGCGUGUCGGGUACAGUUCUUGUGGAUUUGGACCUCAUGGAGAUGCCCCAUGGUACCCUAAUCUUCUUCGAAGAGUAAAGCAAAUCAGAAUACAGCUGAUGUUAAAACUUAAAACUCAUGCGCACAGAUAUAGUACUGCAAGAAUCAUAUGAAUACAGGCUUCGAUCAGUUCAGAGGGGAAGGGAAAAAAAAUACAUUCUGAGUUAACUUGAUUUACUUGCAGCAGAUCUGAUCAGUUACACAAGAUGAUGCUGACAGGGAGAAUAAACUGGGUAAGAUGAUGCUUCAAUGGAUAAAACUGCAGGGACCAUAACGUCUCGAAAUGUGCAGAACAAGCAUAAGAUCCUUUCGAUAUUACGUACUUCGGACUGCAUCAUGUACGUCAAUCUUAGCUAAAGAAAUUAAAGAAGGACCACCGAACUUCUUCUUCUUC